rnacentral:rRNA from 1 species
AGAAAUUUUAAUAUUAAAAAUAUAUAUAAUGGGGGUUAAAGUAUUUUUAAUAGAAAAAAUUUAAAAUUUUAUAGUAAAUUAGUAUUGUGAAAGAAAUUUGAAAUAAAUUGAAAUAGAAAAUUAUAAUAAAGUAAAUUUAAUUUAUUGUAUCUUGUGUAUCAGAGUUUAUUAAAAAUUUUUUAUAGUUUUAAAUUUCUCGAAUUUAAAAGAGUUAAUUAAUUAAUAAAUUUAUUGUUUCAUAAAUAUUUUAAAUAAUUAAUUAGAAAUGAAAUGUUAAUCGUUUUUAAAUAUAUCUAGUUUUUUUAGAAAAAAAUUUAAUUUUUUAUUAAAAUUAAAAAUUAAUUAAUUAUUUUAAUUAAUUUUUAAUUUUAAUUUAAUAAUUUAAGGGAUAAGCUUUAAAUUAAAUUUUUAUAAUUAAAAAUUAAUUAAUUUUAAAAUUUUUAUAAUUUAUAUUGUUAAUAAAUUUUAAUUUAUUAUAAAUAAUUUUAUUAAAAUUGAAAAUUUAAAAUAUGAAAUUUAAUUUUUUAUAAAAAAAUAUUUUUUAAUUUAUAAAAUUUAGUUAUAAUGAUAAAAUUAGUAUAUUUAUGAAUAAAUUUAUAAAAUAAUUAAAAUUUUAUUUAUAUGAUAAUUAUUUUAAAGGAAUUCGACAAAUUUUUAUAUUCACCUGUUUAUCAAAAACAUGUCUUUUUGAAAAUAUAAUUUAAAGUCUAAUCUGCCCACUGAUUUAUAAAUUGAAGGGCUGCAGUAUAUUGACUGUACAAAGGUAGCAUAAUCAUUAGUCUCUUAAUUGGUGACUUGUAUGAAAGAUUGGAUGAAAUAUAAAUUGUCUCUAUAAUAUAUAUUGAAUUUAAUUUUUUAAUUAAAAAGUUAAAAUAAAUUAAAAAGACGAGAAGACCCUAUAGAGUUUGAUAUUAAUUUUUAUUUAAAUUAUAAUUAAUUUUUAAUAUUUUAAAUUAAAAUUAAUAUUUUAUUGGGGUGAUAGAAAAAUUUAAUUAACUUUUUUUAAUAAUUAACAUUAAUAAAUGAAUUAUUGAUCCAAUAUUAUUGAUUAUAAGAAAAAAUUACCUUAGGGAUAACAGCGUAAUUUUUUUUUUUAGUUCAAAUAAGAAAAAGAGUUUGCGACCUCGAUGUUGGAUUAAGAUAAAAUUUAAAUGCAAAAGUUUAAAAUUUUGAUCUGUUCGAUCAUUAAAAUCUUACAUGAUCUGAGUUCAAACCGGUGUGAGCCAGGUUGGUUUCUAUCUUUUAAAAUUUUUAAUAUUUUAGUACGAAAGGAUCAAAUAUUAUAAUUAAAUUAAUUUUUUUGAAUAUUAUU